rnacentral:ribozyme from 1 species
UAAAUAGGGUAUUCUUACCUAGGGCUGUCCGUGGAACCAGGAAAUUUGGUGCCUGAGGGGUCCUCAAGUCCGCAUCAAUCGGCCGAAUUGCGUAAGACCGACAGCAAGGUACAUCUUUGAGAGUCUUGUUGCAAGGAGGACAUGCCAAUCCGGAGAAUGGGGUGAGACUCCUCUGAAAUCCGGUGUCGCUUCAUUCCACGGGAAGCCCAAACAAAGUGAAACACGCGAGCAGUUGGCGCGUUUGCGGUAUAUUAGCUUUGA